AAACCGGGGCUAAUACCGGAUACGACCUUCGAGGGCAUCCUGGAAGGUGGAAAGGAUUCUGGCUAGGGAUGGGCCCGCGGCCUAUCAGCUUGUUGGUGGGGUAACGGCCUACCAAGGCGCCGACGGGUAGCCGGCCUGAGAGGGCGACCGGCCACACUGGGACUGAGACACGGCCCAGACUCCUACGGGAGGCAGCAGUGGGGAAUAUUGCACAAUGGGCGAAAGCCUGAUGCAGCGACGCCGCGUGAGGGAUGACGGCCUUCGGGUUGUAAACCUCUUUCAGCAGGGACGAAGCGAAAGUGACGGUACCUGCAGAAGAAGCACCGGCCAACUACGUGCCAGCAGCCGCGGUAAUACGUAGGGUGCAAGCGUUGUCCGGAAUUAUUGGGCGUAAAGAGCUCGUAGGCGGUUUGUCACGUCGGCUGUGAAAACCUGGGGCUCAACCCCGGGCCUGCAGCCGAUACGGGCAAACUAGAAUUCGGUAGGGGAGACUGGAAUUCCUGGUGUAGCGGUGAAAUGCGCAGAUAUCAGGAGGAACACCGGUGGCGAAGGCGGGUCUCUGGGCCGAUAUUGACGCUGAGGAGCGAAAGCGUGGGGAGCGAACAGGAUUAGAUACCCUGGUAGUCCACGCCGUAAACGUUGGGCGCUAGGUGUGGGCCACAUUCCACGUGGUCUGUGCCGCAGCUAACGCAUUAAGCGCCCCGCCUGGGGAGUACGGCCGCAAGGCUAAAACUCAAAGGAAUUGACGG
rnacentral:rRNA from 1 species